CAUUUUUUCUGGUUCGCCGGGAUGCCCAUUUUUGCCUGGACUAUUUUAUUCUUUUCGUCCAGCGGGUCUCUUAUACGAAGUAUUUUUUAACUGUUUCCCGAACCUUUUUCAUUUUUUCUGGUUCGCCGGGAUGCCCAUUUUUGCCUGGACUAUUUUAUUCUUUUCGUCCAGCGGGUCUCUUAUACGAAGUAUUUUUUAACUGCGUCCGCAUUCACAGGGGACGGAAAAUCCUCGCCACCCAUGGUCGUCAACAACAAGGCUCCGCUAGAGAAAACCUUCUUGACCACGAAUAGACCUUCAUAAUUGGGUGUCCACUUUCCC
rnacentral:lncRNA from 1 species